rnacentral:rRNA from 1 species
UACGAAGGGGGCUAGCGUUGUUCGGAAUACUGGGCGUAAAAGCGUGCGCAGGCGGCUUCUCAAGUCAGGGGUGAAAGCCCAGAGCUCAACUCUGGAAUUGCCCUUUGAGACUGAGUGGCUUGAGUACGAGAGAGGUGAGUGGAAUUCCCCAGUGUAGAGGGUGAAAAUUCGUAGAUAUUCGGAAGAACACCAGUGGCGAAGGCGACAUACUGGAUCAUUUACUGACGC